AGUGAACGCUGGCGGUAGGCCUAACACAUGCCAGUCGAACGGCAGCACAGUAAGAGCUUGCUCUUACGGGUGGCGAGUGGCGGACGGGUGAGGAAUACAUCGGAAUCUACUUUUUCGUGGGGGAUAACGUAGGGAAACUUACGCUAAUACCGCAUACGACCUACGGGUGAAAGCAGGGGAUCUUCGGACCUUGCGCGAUUGAAUGAGCCGAUGUCGGAUUAGCUAGUUGGCGGGGUAAAGGCCCACCAAGGCGACGAUCCGUAGCUGGUCUGAGAGGAUGAUCAGCCACACUGGACCUGAGACACGGUCCAGACUCCUACGGGAGGCAGCAGUGGGGAAUAUUGGACAAUGGGCGCAAGCCUGAUCCAGCCAUACCGCGUGGGUGAAGAAGGCCUUCGGGUUGUAAAGCCCUUUUGUUGGGAAAGAAAAGCAGCAGGUUAAUACCCCGCUGUUCUGACGGUACCCAAAGAAUAAGCACCGGCUAACUUCGUG
rnacentral:rRNA from 1 species